AGACAUUAAGCGUGCACGGUGGAUGCCUUGGCCUAGGACGGCUAAGAAGGACGCGACUAACCUGCGAAAAGCUUCGGGGAGGCGGUUUGUAGCCUUUGAUCCGGAGAUAUCCGAAUGAGGAAACUCAUCCUGUUUUUAACGGGAUAUCACGACGGUAACACGUCGGGAAGCGAACCCGGGGAAGUGAAACAUCUCAGUACCCGGAGGAAAAGAGAACAAUAUGAGUUGCGUUCCGUCCUGACGAAAUUUAUUUCGAACGGAUGGAACGCAACUCUCGUGAUUCCCCUAGUAGCGGCGAGCGAAAAGGGGGAAGCCCAAACUGGGACCUGAAUUUAAGGUUCGACCUUAAUGAAUAAUUCACAAGGUCGAACCUUGGCUUCAGGUUCCAGGGUUGUAAGAUGUGAACACCCAAUUUAUUGGAAAAGAGUUACAAAAUGUCUGUAUAGCGGAAGCUGCUGGGAAGCAGCGCCCCAGAGGGUAAUGGCCCCGUACGCGAAAUACAUGAUGACUCUUGUUUAUAUUCUUGAGUAACUCGAGACACGAAUAGCUCGAGUGAAUCUGCCGGAACUAACCGGUAAGGCUGAAUACGUCCUAUGACCGAUAGUGAACUAGUACCGUGAGGGAAAGGUGAAAAGAACCCCGAGAGGGGAAUGAAAUAGACCUGAAACCGUGUACGUACAAGGGGUCGGAGUGGAUUCCCGCAAGGGUUUACCAUGACGGCAUGCCUAUUGAAGAAUGAGCCGGCGAGUGUAUAUAUCUUGCAUAGCUAAGCCCUUCCGGGGCGGAGCUUCAGGGAAACCGAGCGUGAAUAGCGCUACAAGUAGGAUAUAUACGACCCGAAGCCAGAUGAGCUUGCCAUGAGCAGGGUGAAGUCCGUCGAAAGACGAAUGGAGGCCCGAACCCGUAGGUCGUUCAACGCCUUGGGAUGACUUGUGGUAAGGAGUGAAAAGCUAAUCGAAUCUGGGAAUAGCUGGUUCUCUCCGAAACAGCUUUUGGGCUGGCGUUGCGAAAGGUGUGCAUGGGGGUAGAGCACUGGAAGGGACCAACAGGGAGAAAUCUCGUGGUUCCUAUCAAACUCCGAAUACCAUGCGCUCGCGCAGCAGUUAGAAGGUGGGGGCGAAGCUCCAUCGAUCGAGAGGGGAAGAGCCCUGAUCGCCAAUUAAGGCCCCAAAAUCGACAUUCAGUACAUCAACAAGGAAGUGAGGGUCCACUGACAGUGAGGAUGUUGGCUUAGAAGCAGCCACCAUUUAAAGAAAGCGUAACAGCUCACUCAUCGAGGAUCCUUGCGCCAAAGAUGAUCGGGGUUAAAUGUCGUGCCGAAAUUGCGGGUUCCGGAACAUCAGUUUGGAUUUAAAGGUCUGACUUUUUUGAAUUCUUAAAGUAAGACUUUGGAAUUCAAUCCAAACUGAUGUUCCGGAGCGGUAGGAGAGCGUUCCGUUCGCGCUGAAGCUUAAGGGGUAACCCAAGGUGGAGCGUACGGAAGUGAGAAUGCCGGUACAAGUAACCACAAUGCAGGUGAGAACCCUGCACGUCGAAAGACCAAGGUUUCCUCAGCUAUGGUGAUCAACUGAGGGUUAGUCGGGCCUAAGGGGAUGGCGAAAGCCGCACCCGAUGGACACACGGUCAAUAUUCCGUGACCGUUUUUAGAGGCUAUGGAGUGACGAACUGCUGUAUGCACUGCCGGUUAUUGGAUUCCGGUUGUUGGUAUGAGGGCGCGCGUUAGGCAAAUCCGGCGCGCACUAUCCCAAGUACUGACACAAUUUCCUCCUACGGGGGGAGAAAGAGCGCACAGCGCGGUUUCAAGAAAAUCUUCUACGCACCAACUCUAAAGACGACCGUACCGCACACCGACACAGGUGGUCAGGUCGAGAAGACUAAGACGAACGAGUAAGAUGUCCUCAAGGAACUCGGCAAAAAAGCGGCCGUAAGUUAGCGAUAAGGCCUUCCCUCACCACUUUUGAUGCUCAAAAGUGGCGAGGGACGCAGUGAAAGUUUUUCUGGCAACUGUUUACCAAAAACACAGCUCCCUGCAAACUCGUAAGAGGAAGUAUAGGGGGUGACACCUGACCAAUGCCGAAAGGUUAACCACGGUGGGUUCUUUAUAGCAAUAUAAAGAGCUGGACUGUGUAAGCCCCGGUGAAUGUCGGCGAUAACUAU
rnacentral:rRNA from 1 species